CCGGCCUCGUCGACGUUGCACUCCACCCCUGGUUCGAAGCCGAUCCCGUCCCUGAUCGCACUCGAUAUCCCCCUGAUGCUAUAAAAUCCCCCAUCCGGCCGUAUCCCUACCAAGCACGCACCAAAAAUCAAUUACUUGGAGGAGGUUGAUUUGGCUCUUGAGGCGGAGGGAGGCUUGGAAGUAGGCGUGCUGGUCGAGGACGGACUCCGAGCACGUCCCGUGCUUCUCCCACUCGUGUCUCCAGAAGGUGGAGCCGUCGCCGCUGGGGCAAGCCAGACUGGGCCACUUCGAUCUCAAGCUCCCUAUUAAAUCUCCGAUCUGCAUUUUGGACGAAGUAGAAGAAGUCGAAAUCUUGUGCGGUGGAGAUUGAUGGAGAGGAAAAGAGGAGGGGAAGAAGGAGGAGCAGCAUGAUGGAAGGCAGCUGCAUGCGUCCUGUCAAGUUAGUUGUGCAUAUGUGUCUUGUAGGGUCUUUAUAGUCGUCGUCGAAGGAAAAGUUGUGGUGGUGGUGGUUUGGGUUGGAUAAGUUUAAACUCAACCUACAAUUUCAAGAUUUGGGUGAUUAGUUUGGAUUAUUAAGGACGUUACCUCCAUUGCAUUAAUUCCGGUUACGUUUAUUAA